AAUAGAUACCCGGGUAGUCCACCCCGUAAACGUUGGGAACUAGUUGUGGGGUCCUUUCCACGGAUUCCGUGACGCAGCUAACGCAUUAAGUUCCCCGCCUGGGGAGUACGGCCGCAAGGCUAAAACUCAAAGGAAUUGACGGGGACCCGCACAAGCGGCGGAGCAUGCGGAUUAAUUCGAUGCAACGCGAAGAACCUUACCAAGGCUUGACAUACACCGGAAACGGCCAGAGAUGGUCGCCCCGCAAGGUCGGUGUACAGGUGGUGCAUGGUUGUCGUCAGCUCGUGUCGUGGGAUGUUGGGUUAAGUCCCGCAACGAGCGCAACCCUCGUUCUAUGUUGCCAGCACGUAAUGGUGGGAACUCAUGGGAUACUGCCGGGGUCAACUCGGAGGAAGGUGGGGAUGACGUCAAAUCAUCAUGCCCCUUAUGUCUUGGGCUUCACGCAUGCUACAAUGGCCGGUACAAAGGGCUGCAAUACCGUGAGGUGGAGCGAAUCCCAAAAGCCGGUCCCAGUUCGGAUUGAGGUCUGCAACUCGACCUCA
rnacentral:rRNA from 1 species